rnacentral:SRP_RNA from 1 species
GGAGGCUGGCGGCGGACGGGUCCCUCGCCAACCCGGUCAGGUCCGGAAGGAAGCAGCCGUAACGAUCCGGGCUCGGGCCGACCGUUCAGUCUCCCAC